UCUUUGGUAGUAUAUCGGAUAGUACACCCGCCUGUCAUUUCAUGGUGCGCGGGAGAGCGGGGUUCGACUCCCCGCCAGAGAG
rnacentral:tRNA from 1 species